CAGGGAAUCUUGCGCAAUGGACGGAAGUCUGACGCAGCGACGCCGCGUGGGCGAAGACGGCCUUCGGGUUGUAAAGCCCUUUUCUGGAGGAAGAGGGAGGACGGUACUCCAGGAAUAAGUGUCGGCUAACUACGUGCCAGCAGCCGCGGUAAUACGUAGGACACGAGCGUUAUCCGGAUUUACUGGGCGUAAAGCGCCUGUAGGCGGUUCGAUAAGUCUGAUGUGAAAGCCCCGGGCUCAACCUGGGAAGUGCAUUGGAAACUGUCAGACUUGAAUACGGGAGAGGGUAGUGGAAUUCCUAGUGUAGGAGUGAAAUCCGUAGAUAUUAGGAGGAACACCGGUGGCGAAGGCGGCUACCUGGACCGAUAUUGACGCUGAGACGCGAAAGCGUGGGGAGCAA
rnacentral:rRNA from 1 species